rnacentral:misc_RNA from 1 species
UUAAAAAAAAAAAAAAAAGGAUUCUUGGCUGAUCCAUGAAAAGUAGGAAGCAUUGUGAAGUGGAAAAGCCUUUUACCACAGGAUUUUGAACCAAGCUUUUCACUGGAGAAUCAGUAGCUUACGGGCAUUAGUGCACCAGCGAUCAUAAGCUGGUUGGAGAUUAGGCCAAUCAGAAGAAGGGGAAUAAGUGAAGUGUUGUAGCCACAAAGACAAGACUUGCUCCUGCUCCUCUUCCUGGUCCAAUGUCUCUAUGAGCUCUUCCAGUAUUUUCUCUAGCUCUGCCCUUUCGCUAGUGCUGAGAACAGGUACAUCAGUGCCAUUACAAGCUUUGCAUAACAAUGGCAACCAUGCCAUUAGCAUCUUCUUAUUUACUUGCCUUUGUUGUUGUUUUUUGUCUUCUUCUAUUUCUUCUAUUCCCCAUUCUUUGGCUUGCUUGAACAGAAAUGCUGCUAUCUUUAGCAAUGAACCCUGUAGCCGCGGCUCAGCCGAGAGAGCGAAGUAAGCCAAGUUGGAAGCCGAGGCCCACCUACAAACAGCUUCCUCCCCGCAACCGCAGGCAGCCAACUUCUGCGACAACCAAAGCAGCUCCGCCGCCAACUUCUCCUCUAACCGUUCCAUUCCCUCUCUCGUCCUCCCACCGAAGGCCCCCAAUGUCCCAUCUUUUAGAGACCUAACCGCUCUUAAAACCCGGUUCAACUGGUUCUGAACCUGCCAAUUCACGUCCGGUUCAUAGCCGAGCUCCAUCAUGGACGCUUCAAGCUGGCUAAGAGUCCUCUCAAAAGCCGCUGAUAAACUUGUACGGUUGACUAAACGCAAAGCCUCAGCAUCCCCACUCUGAUUCUCCUCUAUAAUUUUCUCAGCCAAAGAUCGAACAACUUCAUACUUCCUGGAGCUAACAGGGAUAUCAUUAAUGAGCGACAAGAUCUGGAUAAGUGCUCGAGCAAUACCCGAAUCGGCGCCGCCGCUUCGGCGAGUGAGGACGGCGUAGGUUUCAGUUUUGGGAGAUUUGAGGAGGUGAUUAUGAUCAGGAAUAGGAUUAAAAGAAGCCAAGAAAGAAGGAAGUAAACGCAAGAAGAAGAGAAAACCGGUUAUGAAGAGAUACCGAAUGAAUUCGAGGAGUUUGUACUUUUCUCCAAGAUUAACGAGGGAUUUAUCAGCGUAGAUGAAAGCAGGGGCGACCAGGUUUCUGAGAACCAAAAGGGCUAAGGCGGUGGGGGUGGUUUCCAUGACGCCCAUGGGUGAUGGCCAGUGGUGAAAGGUGUGAGGAAGUGGGGGUGGGUGGAUGCCGU